UGCAAAUGGUGGUUGUCGACGCAAGAACCAAGGAUAGAGGGAGAUUGGAGAUAGGGAGUUGAGUCUUGAUGGUCUCCUUUAAAGCCCCAAAUCUUUGUUGAGUCUGAGAGGUUGAAUUUGAAAGUCUUAAGAAAGAAGACUUUUGUAAAAACCCACUUUUGUAAAACCUUAUCAUCGUUUGAUCGAAUGAGAAAUAGGACUGAAAUGUCAAUCCCUGCCCAAGAGAGAGAAAAAGAAAACCUUCAACUGUGGAGCAUCUACAAAAGUAGAAAAAUAAAACUAUUAGACCUGAAUCACAAAAUAUAAAUAAAAAACAAAAAAAGAAAAGUUAAACCUGGAUCGAAGAAACACUCCUCUCCUAUAAUCAAUGAACUCCAAAAGUAAGUCAUAACAUCUGCAAACUCCAACAACAUAGAUAAUUAAUAAAUCCUUACAAAGAUAGAAAAAACAGAAAAUCACAAAAGUAUUUUAGUGUGAUGGGUAUCACAUAUACACAAAAAAAAAAGACGAGUAAUGGUAGACAUACAAAACCCGAUGUUUGCCCAAUGUAUGGGGCCGGCCCGGCGAAAAUGGAAUUACAACAUUCUGGCGGGCGGGUUAUGCACUUAUGCUAACCGGUCGAAUAAAUAUUUGAGGGAGAGAGCCAGAGAGCUUAAAUGGUGUCAUUUCACGGCGGCGAGAAGAAGCCACCGAAUCUUUCAAAGUUCGUCUCUCCGCUUCCGCCGUAUCCAUCGCCAUGCAUCUAAUAAAGGUCUUGUGGAGCUUCUAUCAUUUGAUGCGACAAUGAGUAUAUGCCUACUUCACCAUUCAGUGCUUCCAUGCUAUCUUACAAUGAUAUUGGGAACAAGAGACAGCACAGGAUAGUAUUUUUUUUCCCAUAACAUCUUUCUGGUGCUUUCUUAUGGAGAUUCCUCUAUGUGCAAUUUCUCCAUGUCACCUGGUUAUGUGCAAUACCUGUACAUAACAGAGGUAGUUCAUAUUUUUGUGUACAAGAUCCAGAUAGAUUUACAAGUUUCAUAUUCUCAUUUGUUGCUUAUGCCCCUUCAUCAUUGUUCACCCUCCCCUAAUUGUCUUUUUGGCUGUUUCCAUCUCACAGACUUAUAGGGCUUGUUGCUCACAUUUUUACUUGAUCUUGGUAGACAUUAUUUUCUUUCUAAAUAAAGUUGUUAGUUUUCAGAUCAAGCUUUUGAUUCCCUUAAUUCAUCUAUCGUCACUCUUCUUGAGUAGAUGAACUUACUUUUUUGUGUUACUUUUGGUCCUUGUUGCCAUCAUCCUCUUCAGGUUUAUAUUCGAAGUACAUAGUAGUAGGAUUUCAUGUGCAUCAUUUCUUCAGUAGUAAGCCUGGAAUUUGAAUGUAUUCAUGAUCCUUUUGUAUGUCAAAACUAUGGCAUUAUAACGUAAUUUUCCAAUGUCAGAUUUUCCACUUAUAUUUCUUUGUUGAAAGGAUGAUAUUUCUGCAAGGAAAAAUAAAGAAGUGGGUCUUUCCCCCCUAUAUCCAUAGAAAACCAGUUAUUUUUGAAAUUAUCUAGAAAAACCUCCAGAAAAGCUUUGCAGUUAUUUUACUGAAACAAACCAAAUUUACUGUUGAUUGGUUUUCAUAUGGAGAUGGAAAAGGAAAGCAAAACCAUUUUGUCAGUAUCUCCCUUUCCCACCUAUUAGAACAUAUAUCUUGGUUCACAUUUCCUCUUUAUUAUCUAUCUUUUGUUAAAGUAUGUAUUUAACAUUUAAGGAGCCUUUAUUUUGGGGAAUUUAGUCCUAGUUGUAAUGGUAAAAUCUCAUGCUGGCAAGUGUGAGAACAUUGUAUGAGUCUGAUAGCAACCACUAUGUGCAAGGAAAAUGCCAAAGGUUAGGACUGUAUCCAGUUCCCAAGACCUCAUACAGCUGGGACCAACAUUGGGUAAUGACCAUAUUUUAGUCCAAGGUUUUUUUUUUUAAUUUUCCUGAUUCUGUUAUUUUAAAGAGGUUGUAGAGGAGUGAUUCUGCAAUCCUCUACUCUUUUCACCUGGUAUUGCAAGUGGGUAUGUGGGAGUUUGGACAAUGAUGAUGAUGGAUAAAGUUCAUGGAGUUUAUUUCUUUGAAAUAGAAGGAUUCACCAUUCAAGGAGGAGGAGAAGUGAUGCAGGAACUACCUAAGCAGCAGCUAAUUAUGUGGCUGAAAUAAACCCUAACUUAGCCGGAAAAAGGCUCAGAAAGCUCUCAGUUUAUUGGUUGAAAAUUAGCAUUUACUUGCUCUGCUAAGUAGAUUGGACAGAACCUAAAGUGAUUGAAAAAUCACUAAGCAGGGAAGCAAGCAGAAAUUGAAAAUGUGGUGAACAGGGGCUCAAAUGGCGUUAAGUUUGAAAAAAACAAUAAUAAGUUUGAAAGAGAUGGUAGGAUGGCUGCUGUACCACUUAGAGGGGAUUGUAGAACUUCAUUAACAAUGAAAAUGCAAAUGAAAGAUUGGUAGGGAGGUAAGAGGCAUGUAGAAGUUAAAGAAAUAACCUAAAACACAAGAGGAACAUAGACUGUUAAAGAAAAACAAACUUGGAAUAUUAAGAUAGUGAUUCAUUUAUCAAAAAAAAAAAAAUUAAGGUUGUGAUUUAGUAUAUCACAUUCAAUGACGAACUAAGCUAAUUACAGUAAAUUCAAGAUAGGUCCUAAUGGAGUCAGCACCAUUAGGUUCCUCUAGGAGUCAGCAGCUAGAGAUGAAGGAGUUGGCACCUUCAUAAGCUUUGAGUCAGCACCAAACUAUAAAACUUACAGGAGCAGUUCAAAACUCUUUCAUUCGUCAUCUCUAGACAGUCUUUACAAUGAUAUCUAUAUAUAUAUAUAUCUAUAUCUAUAUAUCUAUAUAUCUAUAUAUAUAUUAGACGAGCAUUCAAUCCUUUCUGAGAUUUACAAUAUAAUUAUCUUCCUAAUCAAAUGUAACUAAACAAGGAAAGAAAUAUAUCUUAUCUAAAAUGUUCUCUCAAUCUCUUAUCAGUAGUAAACAUGGAAAGAAACAAAUCUAAAAUAUUUUUUCAAUCUUUGAUUGACAUGAUGCUAAAUCAAAUCUUUUGAUUGAGAGAGUUUGUAUGAGCCUCAAAUCUUUGAUUGAGGGAAUCUUUAUGGGCCCCACAUGAGCUUACCAUCUCUGCUGGAAUGGGCUGUCUUGCAUGUAGGCUGCAAAUAUGGUUACAAGCCCAUGGUCUUUGGAUUGGGUCUUUCUUUUAGCCCCAUUUCUUUUCUUUUUCAACUCUCCUUGGCUUGAAUGAACUCAACUUUGGCGAGUUUAAGGAUUGGUCUUGCUUGUACAAAUCCAAAUUGAUGGCUUAGAAGUUUGCUGCAGUAACCCAAGUACAAUAAAAAUAGGUCUGCCCUUAUACUUAAGAAGAAACUUCUGAUUAACCUCCAUUGCAUGUUGACACCAAUUAGUCAUCACGUGCAUAUUCAGUCUCUCGUUUAACUUGGGGACAGUUGGAAUUUUAAAGUUUUAUUUUUCAUGUCUCUCAUCUUCAUGGUGCCCAUGAUAGAAUCAAAUAUUCAACAUUAAAUGUGGGACUUGUAUUUAAACCAUCAAGGAAUCCAAAACAUAAGCAUUGCAACUGUUUUUCUUUACAAUCUUGUAUGGAUUAACAUUUCUAGAGUGAAACUUUUGGUUGGUCCCUUUAGGAAAUCUCUCUGGUCAAAAUUGCACCAUGAUAUUGAUAAAAAAAAAAAUUGCACCAUGACCUUAUCACCAACAUCAAAUUCUACAAAACGCCGAUGGGAACCAGCUUGUGCUUUAUACUUAACAUUGUUAGUUGCAAUCUUGUAUUUAACUUCCUUAUGAAUACCAUGAAUGUGUUGAGCACAGGAAUUUGCUUCUUCACUUGGUCGUGCUUCAAUGGGCAAAGGACCAAAUCAAUUGGUUGGCAAGGUUUGAUGCCCAAAACCACUUCAAAUUGGUGAUAAUUGUAUUAUAUGAUUCACCAAACUAUUGUGAGCAAACUCAGUCAUUUGUAGAACUUGGUUCCAAGUAGUCACAUGGUCCCCCACUUGACAACGUAACAAAUUCCCUAUGCUCCUAUUUGCUACCUCAGCUUGUUCAUCAAUUUGAGGGUGAUAUGUAGCAGAAAACUUGAGCUUAGUAUUCAUAAUCUCUGGAAGAGUUUGCUAAAAGUAACUCAUAAAUGCCACAUCAUGAUUUGAUGCAAUGGUCUUUGGCAUGCUUGUGCAAUGAGCAACUUCCUUAAAGAACAAUUAAGCUAUGAACAAGGCAUCUGAAGUUUUUUGAGCAAGGGAUGAAAUGUGCCAUCUUGGAAAACCUAUCAACAACAACAUAAAUUGAAUCAAAGCCUUGAAGGGACUCUGGUAAUCCUAAAACAAAAUCCAUGCUAAGGUCUUGCCAUGACUCUUGCAGUAUAGCCAAUAUAUAAUCUUAUGUUUUGCUUCCUACCUUUAGCCAAUUGACAAGUCUUGCCACAUUCUUUCUUAGGCCAGGCCAAUAGAAUUGAUCUUCUACCAUAGCAAUGGUUAAUUCCCCAAACCUGCCCUGGACCUGGUGGUAAAAUUACUAAAAUUCCCCUAUGUUUAAUAUUAAUUUCUAAAAUAUUCCUAAGUUUCUCCCAAAUUCUUAAAACCUCUAGGAUCCCAUAAUCCCAUUUCUAAAAUACCCCCAAAUUCCCUUAAUCCAAUUUCUAAUAUACCCCAAAUUCCCAUAAUCCUAUUUCUAAAAUACAUCCAAAUUUAAUGUAUAUUCUUAGGUGGUUGCCUUCUGGCUGUAAAAAUUCUGGGAUUCUCCCUGUCCUUGAUGGGGAGAGGGUGCCCUUGUUAACCUAGAAACUGAGAGAGAGAAGGGAGGAAGAGUAGGGAACACCAAGUCUGUUCGGUUGGUUAUGAUGUCUCGACCCAACCAGGAAACAUAUCUUUAUAUUAAAAAGGGCAAAAGUACAAUACUGCCCUUACAUAAGAGAAUAAAGUACAAUAAGGUACAGAGAUGUCUAGUAUACACACUAUACUAAUAAUAUGGUACAAAAGAGAAGUAUAAUGAAAAAAUUACCCCUUCCCUCUACAUCCCCUCAAACUGAUGCUGGGGCACAAGCACCAAUUUGUCAACAAGGAAUGUAUGCCUAGCCCGAGACAUAGAUUUGGUGAAUAGAUCUGCAAGUUGUAGGCCGGAAAAAACAUGGGGAUGAGAAAUAUGGCCACAAGAAGAUCUCUAAUAAAAUGGCAAUCCACUUCAAUAUGCUUGGCAUACUUAUGUAAGAUAGGAUUGGAUGCUAUCUUGAUGGCACUCAUGUUGUUAACAAAUAGAGGAAUGGAGCCACACAAUCUCACUAUAGACAGAGGACAUAGCACGACACUUUGCUUCAGUGGAUGACUUGGACACAAUUUGUUGCUUCUUGCAUUUCUAGGAGAUUAGAGAAUCUCCAAGAAAGAUACACCAAGCAAUAGUGGAGCGGCAUGUGUCAGGGCAGCCAGCCCAAUCAGCAAUAGCAUAGGCUCUAAGUCGAGAAUUAGAUGAGGAUGGGAAAAAUAGAUUAUGAGAUAUUGUCCCCUGUACAUAACGAAUGAUGUGAAGAACUGCUGAAAAAUGGGGCUAGUGAGGAGCAAAAAUAAAAUGAUUGACAAUUUAAACAACACAAGAGAUAUCCGGUCUAGUCAUAGUAAGGUAGAUGAGGCUGCCCCCAAGUUGCCGAUACAAAUUGGCAUCAAGGAGCAACCAACAUCCGUGCUUAACUUCAAAUUGAGUUCCAAGGGAGUGUCAACCUGCAUAGAGUCUAUAAGGUGGGCCACGUGCACAAGAUCGGAAGCAUACUUUUGUUGGUUGACAAAAUACCCUUAGGAUGAACUUUUAAUUUCUAAAGCCAAAAAAAUAAGUGACUGGCUCUAGAUCCUUCAUUUUGAAGGUGUUGUUGAGAAGGAGCUUCUAUUUGUCAUUCCCACCCAUAUAAUCCUAGUGAUUAGUAUGUCAUCCACAUACCAAAAGGAGGGUUAGUCCUUGGGACCUCUUGAGGGUGAAAAGAGAAUAAUCAAAAGUAACUUUGUUGAAAACCAGCCUCUAGAACAACUGAACGGAAACGUUCAAACCAAGCUUUGGGAGCUUGCUUGAGCCCAUAAAGUGAUUUCUUGAGUUUGCAUAUUAAGAAAAGCAUUCUUAACAUUCAUCUGAUGCAUAGGCCAAUGUUUAAUAGUAGUAAUGGCCAAAAGGAGACAAACUUUAGUCAUCUUGGCCAUGGGAGCAAAUGUUUCAUCAUAGUCAAUGUCAUACUCUUGCUUGUAACCUUGUGCAACUAGACGAGCUUUGCAUCUAUCCAAGGUGCCAUCAGAUUUGAGUUUUCAUUGAAUAAACCCAUCUAUUACCAAUGAUUUAAGCAUUUGGAGGAGGAGGGACAAGGUCCCAAGUAUCAUUUUCCAUUAAGGCCUAAAUCCCUGCAUCCAUAGCAUCUUUCCAAUGCUUAACAACUGUGGCUUGUUAAUAAGACCGAAUAUUUGUAGAGUACAAAAUGAUAGACAAAGAAUUAUAGUUUGGAGGAAAACCAUAAUUGUCAGGAGGAUGAGAAAUAUGGGUGGAGCAAUGUAAGGAACAAGGGUGGGUGAGUCAACAAAGGGAGGAGAACUUACAAUGGAAGUAAUGGAAGGAAGAUGCAUAGGAUCUGGUGUUGAAGAUGGAGGGAGCACAGGUGUGGAAGGAACUAGAUGCUUCCUAUAAUAAACAUGAGAAUCAUUUGUAGAGUGAAGUUGAUGCAAAAUAAAGAGGGAUGGUGCAGGCAACUUAACAACAUGCUCAAAGAACGAAAUAUUUUCAUGAAAAAUGACAUUAUGGGAAAUGCGAAGAUGAUGAACUUUGGGAUCAUAUCAAAGGGAGAAGAUGAACAAAGCAUACACAACCAAAAAAUGAAGCAUGGAUUAGUCAGGUGGAUGAUGAAAAAAGGCUUGAAAUGAAGAAUUUUCAAGAACAGAAGAAGGAGGUAAAUUAAUAAGAUAUACAACUGUGCUGGUCGCCUUCACCCAUAAGGUAAUAGGGACAUGGGAAUCAUGUAAAAGAGCUCUCACUAUACUAGCAAUAUCACGGUUCUUGCGCUCAGCCACCCCGUUUUGUUGUGAAGUUCAUGGCAAGAUCUAUGGGAUAAAAUGCCAUGUUGGUAAGAUAAUUGUGAAAUUCACCAUACUCUCCAUUAAAAUGUUCUCCCCCUGAAUUAGAUAAUAGGAUAUUUAUGGUACUAUUAAAUUGAUUCUAUACCAUAACAUGAAAAUUCUUGAAUGUAGGAAAUACUUCAGGUUUCUUUGAAAGAAAUUACACCCAUGUAUAUCGUGUGCAAAGUGCAAUCAUCACUGAACAACACAAAAUAUCUAUAUCCCAAGCGAGAAAUAACAAGAGACGACCAAACAUCACUGUGAAUAAUAUGAAAAGGAACAGAUGCAAGCUUAGAAGAAGGUGGAAAAGGCAGAAAAUGGCUUUUAUUGAAGAGGAUUUAUCAACAUUCUUAAAUGAAGAAGCAUUAAUAGGUAAAACACCAGAAACAAACAUAUAAUCCAAGUUAUAUGCAUGAGUGUGGCCUUAUCUUCUAUGCCAUAAAUGCCACGCAUUAUUACAAGAAGUAGAAGAUAAAUAUUCAUAAAAAAGAAGUAGAAGAUAAACUGGAGGUAGUAGAUAGCAAACAAGAAGAUGAAGCAGAAUUCUUGUCCUCAAAUUCUAAAGAAAAAAUCUUCUAAUCCUAAACCCCUUCCCCUUUAGCUUCCCAAUGCAUUGAUCUUGAAUAAGACAACCAUUACGAGAAAAGAUAACAUUAUUACCAUCAUCAGCAAGUUGACCAAUAGAAAUCAAGUUAGUAGUCAAUUUUGGAACAAAGAAACUUUUGGGAAGAUGAAAGGAGGAUGCCUUGGAAGUAGAUAAAAAAAGAUCAUCACAACCACUAAUAGAAAGACUUCUGCCAUUAGCAGUGACAAUGCAAUUAUCUAGGGAACAUGGUUUAGGAGACUGAAGUGGAGGAUGAGAUAUCAGAUGAAUCGACUACAACAAGAUAAGCUUUAGAUUGUCCUUUCUUAGGAGGUCGAGUGGGGAACUCAACAAUAAUAUGGCUUAAUUGCUUGUAGUUGGUACAAAAGUUCUUUUUCUUGCAAUGAGAUUCCAUAUGUCUAAAUUCCUUGCAUUCAUAACAUUGUAUAUUUGAGAAAUCUUUCUUCCCCUUUUUCUUGGUGGUCAGAAACACUGUAUCUAAACCAUGCUAUUUCUUGCCAUCAAGGAAGGAUUGAGUAUGAAGCCAAGUUUCCUCUCUCAAGAGCUCACCAAGAAUAAUAUCUAAAUUAGGUAUAGUUUCCCUACUGAGAAUAUUUGACCUUAUAGCCUCAUAGUCAGGUUGAAGGUGCAAUAAAAAAUGCAUAACUUUUCUCUUGUCAAAAUGUUUCUUCAUCUCCUUCACACAACAAUAUGUGGAUAAAUCCCCUAAAUGAACCAUCUCAUAUUCAGUUCAGAAAUUCACAAAACCAGCAUAGUAUUCUUGAAUUCUUUUAUCUUCCUGAGCAUAAAAAAAUAUUUUUAACUCAAUCAGACAUUGCCUAGACAUGUUUGACUACUGAUAGACCUUGUCUAGGUAUUCAAACAUGUCAUGUGCAGUAUCAAAAUUCAACUUUAUAUGUCCUUGUUGAGGUCCUCUGAUGUAGGACCAGCUCAGUUCUAGUACUUAGAGAAUGUUGAAUGGUCUUCUUGAUCAAAGUUUUAUGGAUGUUGAUGGCUGUAAUAUGGCUUCUUUAAGGAAUAAGAGAGAAAAUAGGGAGAGAAAGAAGUGAAAAAAUACAUUGAAAGGGUGAUAUUGAUGUUAAGGAAGAGUAGAGAGGAUGGAGAAUAGGUUCGUAGAAGUUGCAAGAUGGAGGAAAGCGAUGAAGAUUGAAGCAAAAGAUUUCAUAUUUGAAGAGAUAAGGAUCAGAGGCCAGCGGAGCUUGAAGAUUAGGGAGGCAAAGAAAGCUACAAUACUGCUGGAAGGUCUUGAAGUGAUCGAAUGGAUGCAGAAGUUUGUUUCAGAAGCAAGUUCUAAAGGUAAACAAAUGAACUUUACGAAGUUCAACCUUGAUGGAAGAAAKAGUUAUGAGUURGAAWGCAAAAAGAAURCAAAAGGAUGCUACAUAACUCUGCAGGAAUUCUUUGGAGGAAGAAAGAAGUAGUUGGUUUGUUUCCCAGAAAGUAGAAGGGGUAAUGGAUGGAAGGUAGUGGCAGAGGUAUUGAGUGAUUUUACUCAGCAGCUGAAAACAAAACAAGUAGAGGCUGUAGCGAAGGAAAAGAAAGGGGGUAAACAAAAGAGAGAGAGGAACCCAUUGAUAGGAAAUGGAUGAUUGCAGAAAAAGGAAAAAGAAGUUGUACACUGGUAGCAACAAUAGAAAAGGAGGAUUUGGGGAAGAAAUUUGUGGUGGAAACUUCAUGUCCACCAAAGGAUUGGAGAGGUAUUGCGCGGGCGAUACUCAGAGAAUUAGACCUACAAAAGCCGAUGGUGAUUACUCCUUAUGAAUCUUGUAAAGCUUAGAUAGGGUGAAGAUGAAGUAGAGAUUUCAGCUUUAAAUAUUCACUCAGAGGCUGUUGCUGCCACAGUCUUGAAAUGGUGUCCUCUCUCUAAUACCAAAAGUUUUGAGAUUGAGGACAAUGUAAUAACCAGGUUGCUUGGGUUACCUUUCAAUCUCUAGAAGGAGGAAGUAUUAUAGUCAAUAGCUGUAAUCUGUGAUGCAAGAUUAGAUGGUGUUUUUGAUUGUGAUCUCCAUUCAGUUGCAGUGAUGCUAGGUGGUGUUAAACCCAGUGACAUUCCAAGGAAGAUAGAGGCUGUUUCAGAUGGUUUAGUAUACCCCGUUUGGCUUGCUACCUCCAUCGAAGCCCAUCUUUGGAAGGAGGGAAGAAGGGAGGAAGAUGAAGGGACAAUACAUGCCUGUUUGCGUGGUUUGCAAGGCAGAGUAGUCACUACAAAAGAGGCUAAGUCAAUUGAGGUAACCAAGAAAAAAAGAAUAAUUUAAACACUUGGGGAAAGUUUGCAUGGCAGGUUGGGCUGAGGGAUGGUAGGUCCUAUGUUCAGUUGGUGACAGGAGGAUUAAAUGGAGAUAGACUUGCACCUGGAGUUCAAAUUUCAAAAGAAAAUGAACAAAGGUCGGCAAGGGUUCAGGUUUCAAGACGGUCUUAUGAGCCAGUUCAUUCUGGUCCAAUGAACCGAGGCCAGUCACAUGAUGUUUUAAGUAAACACGUGACUGGUAAAGAGGUUGGGGGGGCUGGGCCCAGGCCCAUCAGAAAUUAAUGGGUCUAUUCCUAUGAUUGGGCCGACUGUUUUAAAUUGUUUGGACCCAGUUCUUAACAAGCCACACGCCACUUUAAGUAGGCCUGUGACCAAAGGAAAAGGGGAGAUGAUGGACCAAAAAGAUGUUCUAUCAUUGUCCCCCUCGAGCAAAACUCAACCACCGCUUGUAGGAAAAAAGGUUAGCUGCAGUGGAGCGGCAAAUCUGAACUGGGCAUGGGCUCUAAGCAAGAAGAAAAAAAAGUCAAUUCUCUAGAAUGGUGCAAUCCGAGGUUCAAGAAGCAUCCGACGAGAAUGGAGACAGGGUGUUCCCUCAUUCCGAUGACAAUAAAUCAUAAUAUUACGAACACGUUUGAGGACUAUGCGAUGGACGAAGAAAGUAGCCCAGAAUUAGAGUCUGAAGGCUCUUCAAGUAUUGGAAGUAUGGAACUGAAAAAAGCCAAACCUCUCAGUGCUGAUGAGAGCCUACACACCGAGCUGCUUUUUUUGGAAAAUGAUGAUUCAGGCUUAACAAACUCAUCCCAGAAGGAGCACUCUCAAAUUCUCCCUUUACCUAAGGAAUUGGAGUUUAUCAUAGCUAUUGUAGGGGAGAGGCAGGGGAAUACUAGUUCUUAUAUAUGCUCCCAGUUCACUAGAGCAGCACGAAAUUGAUGAAGGCUAGAGGAACAUGACAUACCUUGGUCACCGAUCAUAGAAUCAUCAAUCAGGGGACAACAUCUAAAGGCAGAUUCUGAUGCAAGGACUAAAACAACAUUGGUUGAACACAAUGGGAACCCACAGUCAUCUCUUUUGGAAGGAUUAGCCGUGACCUUGCCCCUUUGUGUUGCUUCUCAAGAGUCAUUGCCCUCUUCCCACAACCUUUCAGGUAAUAUUGUCAAUUUGUUUUCUGGUACUGAUGUGGGUUUUCUGCCCGGAACAGGUACUUUUGUAGCUCAACUUGAUGUAGCAGCCAUGGAUAGUAAGUAUUUAUUUGGGGACAAGGAGGGCAAAGAACAAGAGGAAGUGGUAAGGGGAAGAAAAUUACAGGAAGAGGAGUUAGAGAAGAUCUGGGAUCAGAUCUGUAUGUUUUUGGAGAAGUACAAGAGAAAAGAGGAAGAGGUAGGGAAGUAUGAGGCUCAAGAAGAUUUAGUAAAAACAGGGGCUCAAAGUAGCAAAGAAGUUGGGGAUGAAUCAAUUAUGGGAAAGAUGCAGAAGGAGGAAUCAGAUAGGAUUUGGGGACAGAUUUUGCUCUCCUUGAGGAGUAUAGGCAAACAGAUGAAUCUUUGGAGGAAAACCAGGGAAUUUCGGAAAGGCAAAACAAAACAAAAGCAGUCUUAAGCAGAUCUGGAAUAAUUAACAACCGAAGGAAGAAAAAAAGAUCAAAGGUGGAAAGGUUGAAAUCAGAUAUAGAAGAAAAUUUGGAAUUCAUCGGAAGAGGGGAGAGAAGGAAAGCCUCCAAGUAGGGGCCUGAUCUAAGAAGGGGAGGCCAUAUCUCUUAUCUCCAUGAAACUCAUUAGUUGGAAUGUGAGGGGGCUAGGGAGUGCUAGGAAAAGAAGGCUAAUUAAGGACCUCCUUAGAAGGGAAAUGCUGGAUAUAGUGAUGCUAUAGGAGACCAAAUUAGCUGAUAUUGAUAGAAGAUGGGCAAGAUGCAUCUGAAAAUCUAGAGGAAUAAGUUGGGUUUCAGCACCUUCUUGGGGGGCUCCGGGGGGAAUUGCUACUUUUUGGAGAGAGGAUAUGGUGGAGGUUUUGGAGGAGCUAGUAGGUAAAUUUUCAGUGUCCUUAAAAUUCAGGAUGGUAGAGGAUGGAUUUACUUGGGCACCAACUAAUGUGUAUGGACCAAGCAAUUAUAGAGAAAGGAAUGAAUUUUGGGAAGAACUUUAUGGGAUAGAAGGGCUUUGGGAUGGUCCUUGGUGCUUAGGGGGAGAUUUCAAUGUAAUUCAAUUUAUGAAUGAAUCAAAUAAUCCCCAGAAGGUCAUUACAACCAGCAUACGGAGAUUCAAUGAUUUUAUUAAUAACUGUGAGUUAAAGGAACUCCCAUUGCUACAAGUUCUCUAUACUUGGUCCAACUUUCAGAUAGGUUCCUUUUCAAUGAAAGUUGGGAAAAUAAGUGGGUGGACUUGAUAACAAGGUCUCUACCUAGAGUCACAUUUGACCAUUGCCCCAUUGGCCUAAGACAGGAGCCUUUUAGUCAAGGACCCUGACCCUUUAGGUUUGAGAACAUGUGGUUGAUUCACCCGGACUUCGUGAAGAAGGUUGAGGAAUGGUGGAGAGAAGACCUAAGGGGGGUGAAGUGGAAAGGGGUAAGAUUUCACAAAAAACAAAAAAGAUUGAGAGUACAUGUAAAAGAUUGGAAUAGGGAGCAUUUUGGGAGAAUAGAAGAAAUGAAAUCCUCUCUAUUGACCCAAAUAGAUGAAAUAGAAGAAAUGAAAUCCUCUCUGUUGACCCAAAUAGAGGAACUAGAUGGAAACUGAAAAGAUAGAAGAAAUGAAAUCCUCUCUGUUGACCUAAAUCCUCUCCCAAAGAGCCAUAAGCACUCAGGAUAGAGAUCGGAGAUGGAAACUGAAAAGAGAGUUCGACGAAGUCAUUUUGAGAGAAGAAAAUUCUUGGAGGUAGAAGUCUAGAUGUAAGUGGAUUAAGGAAGGAGAUGGGAACACUAAAUUCUUUCAUGGCGUAGCCAGUGGAAGGAGGAGGAAAAAUCUAGUGUCUAAACUAGAAGUGGAUGGAAUAGUUUUUGAUACCCAAGAGAGGAUAGCCAAUUGUUUUAUUGACCAUUUCAAAUCCAUUUUGAGGAGAUCCUUAAGACCUAGUGUGGAGUUGGAAGGUGUGACCUAGUAGAGGCUUCCAGAAGAGAGUAGAAGCUGGUUGGAAAGGAAUUUUGAGGAGGAAGAAAUUAGAAAAGCCGUUUUUUCCAUGGACAGAUCUAAAGCACCAGGGCCAGAUGGGUUUAGAAUGGCUUUCUUUCAAGAUUGUUGGGACAUAGUCAAAGAAGAUUUAAGUAAGGUAUUCAAGGAAUUUGAGGAUAAUCCAGUGAUGAGUCGUGGAAUUAAUGCUACUUUUUUAGCCUUAAUUCCCAAGAAGAAUGAGGCCAAGCAUCCAAAGGAUUUUAGACCUAUUAGUUUGGUAGUGUAUACAAGAUUGUGGCUAAGGUUUUGUUUUUUAGGAUAAAAAAGGUGCUUCCUUGUCUUAUCAACCAAGCGCAAGGAGCUUUUGUUCAGGGAAGACAAAUUGUAGAUCAGAUUCUAAUAGCAAAUGAAAUGUGUGGAGGAGCUGAGGAGAUCGGGCGUCAAGGUUAUGCUUGUAAACUAGAUCUUGAAAAGGCCUAUGACCUAGUGGAUUGGGGAUUCUUAUUACUCAUGCUAAGGAAGUGUGGGUUUGGGGAUAAAUGGUGCAAAUGGAUAAACAGUUGCUUUUCCAAUUGCCAUUAUUCCGUCCUAGUCAACGGGGUAGUUAAUGAUUUUUUUCCAGCUAGUAGGGGUCUGAGACAAGGUGAUCCCAUGUCACCUUUCCUUUUCACUUUAGUCGUCGAUGCUUUUAGUAGAUUCCUCUCAGAAGCGGAUAGAGCCGUAUCUCUAAGACAGUGGAGAAUAGGUAGAGAUAGAGUUCAGUAACCCAUCUUCAAUUUGCAGAUGACAUAAUAAUCUUUUGCGAAGGUUGUGAUUUGAUGGAGGUAAGGAAUCUGUAGGAUUUAUUAGUUCACUUUGAGAGCUCCUCAAAUUUGAAGGUAAAUUUGAGAAGAGCUAUGUUGUGGAAGUUCAUGUGAACAGAGAGGAGAUGGAGUCUAUAGCAGCCUCGUCAGAAUGCACUUGCUCUCAGUGGCCUCUAUCCUACCUAGGACUUCCAUUAGGUGCAAAUCCAAAGGAGAGUAGAUUUUGGAACCCGAUGGUGGAAAAAUUCGAAAAAAGAUUAGUAGCUUGGAAGAGAAACUAUAUUUCCGUGGGGGGUAGAGUUAGUUUGAUUAAAGCAACUUUGGCCAAUUUGCCUUUAUACUUCUUGUCAGUCUUUAGAAUUCCCAAAAGGGAGGCAAAGAGGUUAGAAAAACUGAUGAGGGUUGAUUAGGUGGGAGGUGGUGAGUCAGAGCAAAAAAGGAGGCCUAGGCUUAGGGAAUGUGGUGAGUAAGAAUGAGGCUCUUUUAGGUAAGUAGCUUUGGAGGUGGCCCUUGGAGAGGGAGAGGUUGUGGCAUGAAGUAGUGAAAAGUAUUCAUGGCUGUUCUGAAUUAGGUUGGGAUGCGGGGGUAUCCCGAAGGGACUUGCUCACGACACCUUGGAAGGCUAUCUCUGACAUUCUCCCUAAAUUCCUCAGUUUUGUAAGGUACAAUGCUUGUUUUGGAAACUCCAU